rnacentral:sRNA from 2 species
AGCCGUUUUGAUGCUGAUACCCCGAGUGGAGCUGGACUUCGCCAUAUUAGGCAAUAUAGCCCGCCAGCGGCUCUGUGAUUGGUAAACUGGCAAUCUUCAAUUGUUGCAGGAAUGGGAUGCAACUAUUUAAAGAUUUGACUUGCAACGUUGCGAGCGACAAAAAAUCUGUGCAGGAAAAGGAUUAAAUCUCCUGAGCAAUGUCUUCCAAAGCAACACCUCCAGGGCUGGAGGAGGGCCAUUUCCUGAUGACCAUUGUGUGCUCCUGGGGACCGAUUCAACCCCAUUCAACCUCAGUAAUCUAUGAAACAUGACCACAACACCUCGUCACGAUCAUCUACCAGAACCAGAGCUCGAGCCACUGAAUGUCACAAACGGUGACUCCGUCACGACAAACACAGCCAAGGCAAUC